rnacentral:rRNA from 1 species
UAGGGAACCUUCGGCAAUGGACGAAAGUCUGACCGAGCAACGCCGCGUGAGUGAAGAAGGUUUUCGGAUCGUAAAACUCUGUUGGUAGAGAAGAACGUUGGUGAGAGUGGAAAGCUCAUCAAGUGACGGUAACUACCCAGAAAGGGACGGCUAACUACGUGCAAG